UGGGGAAUAUUGCACAAUGCGCGCAAGCCUGAUGCAGCCAUGCCGCGUGUAUGAAGAAGGCCUUCGGGUUGUAAAGUACUUUCAGCGGGGAGGAAGGCGAUAAGGUUAAUAACCUUGUCGAUUGACGUUACCCGCAGAAGAAGCACCGGCUAACUCCGUGCCAGCAGCCGCGGUAAUACGGAGGGUGCAAGCGUUAAUCGGAAUUACUGGGCGUAAAGUGCACGCAGGCGGUCUGUCAAGUCGGAUGUGAAAUCCCCGGGCUCAACCUGGGAACUGCAUUCGAAACUGGCAGGCUAGAGUCUUGUAGAGGGGGGUAGAAUUCCAGGUGUAGCGGUGAAAUGCGUAGAGAUCUGGAGGAAUACCGGUGGCGAAGGCGGCCCCCUGGACAAAGACUGACGCUCAGGUGCGAAAGCGUGGGGAGCAAACA
rnacentral:rRNA from 1 species